rnacentral:rRNA from 1 species
AACGAACGCUGGCGGCAUGCCUAACACAUGCAAGUCGAACGAGAUCUUCGGGUCUAGUGGCGCACGGGUGCGUAACGCGUGGGAAUCUGCCCUUUGGUUCGGAAUAACAGUUGGAAACGACUGCUAAUACCGGAUGAUGACGAAAGUCCAAAGAUUUAUCGCCAGAGGAUGAGCCCGCGUAGGAUUAGCUAGUUGGUGUGGUAAAGGCGCACCAAGGCGACGAUCCUUAGCUGGUCUGAGAGGAUGAUCAGCCACACUGGGACUGAGACACGGCCCCGACUCCUACGGGGGGCAGCAGUGGGGAAUAUUGGAAAAUGGGCGAAAGCCUGAUCCAGCAAUGCCGCGUUAGUGAUGAAGGCCUUAGGGUUGUAAAGCUCUUUUACCCGGGAUGAUAAUGACAGUACCGGGAGAAUAAGCUCCGGCUAACUCCGUGCCAGCCGCCGCCGUAA